UACGUAGGGGGGCUAGCGUUGUCCGGAAUCAUUGGGCGUAAAGAGCGCGUAGGCGGCCAGAUAAGUCCGGUGUGAAAGUCACAGGCUCAACCUGUGAAUGCCGCUGGAAACUGUCUGGCUAGAGUCCGGAAGGGGCGAGUGGAAUUCCUGGUGUAGCGGUGAAAUGCGCAGAUAUCAGGAGGAACACCAAUAGCGAAGGCAGCUCGCUGGGACGGUACUGACGCUGAGGCGCGAAAGCGUGGGGAGCAAACAGG
rnacentral:rRNA from 1 species